GUUAUAGAGGUUAUAGAGGGAGUAGUUAUAGAGGGAGUGGUUAUAGAGGGAGUAGUUAUAGAGGUUAUAGAGGGUGUAGUUAUAGAGGGAGUAGUUUUAGAGGUUAUAGAGGGUGUAGUUAUAGAGGUUAUAGAGGGUGUAGUUAUAGAGGUUAUAGAGGGUGUAGUUAUAGAGGUUAUAGAGGGAGUAGUUUUAGAGGUUAUUGAGGGAGUAGUUAUAGAGGUUAUAGAGGGAGUAGUUUAUAGAGGUUAUAGAGGGUGUAGUUAUAGAGGUUAUAGAGGGAGUGGUUAUAGAGGGAGUAUUUAUAGUAGUUAUAGAGGGAGUAGUUAUAAAGGUUAUAGAGGGAGUAGUUAUAGAGGUUAUAGAGGGAGUAGUUAUAGAGGUUAUAGAGGGAGUAGUUAUAGAAGUUAUAGAGGGAGUAGUUAUAGACGUUAUAGAGGGAGUAGUUAUAGAAGUUAUAGAGGGAGUAGUUAUAGAGGUUAUAGAGGGAGUAGUUAUAGAAGUUAUAGAGGGAGUAGUUAUAGAGGUUAUAGAGGGUGUAGUUAUAGAGGGAGUAGUUAUAGAGGUUAUAGAGGGAGUAGUUAUAGAGGUUAUAGAGGGAGUAGUUAUAGAGGUUAUAGAGGGAGUAGUUAUAGAAGUUAUAGAGGGAGUAGUUAUAGA
ensembl:lncRNA